UAUAAUUUUUGUAAGUGUCCUCAUUUAACGGGUAUGACAUGUAAUUGUUGUGGCUGCUUUGGUUUAUGAUAUGUAAACAUGUUUUUGUUAAAAUCUCAAGUUGGGGUGGGUUUAGUUUAUCCACACAUUGUAAGUGUCUCAUGCAGGGCGUGAUCUUUGCCAGGUGGAAUUAGUUGAAGUCUGAGGACUUUGAGGGAUAUAAAUAUGACAGCCCAGAGGAAGAAGGCGCAGCUGCUUGGAGGAGGACUGCUUGCUGCUGGGUCGUCCUGCUGCUGCAUUUGCUGCUUGCUGAUCUGCUGGCUACCUGGACUUCUGGAUCUCUGGGCAACUGAUAUUGGAUGCAAAAACCAAACACUUACAUCAUAGGAGUUCAAAUGACUAAGCAGGCCAGGCAGGGACUGCAAAUGCACGAAGCAACUGCACAUCCAAGGAGCAAACUUGUAAAUGAAGAUUCAUGGCUCGCCUCAUCCAGCUGGCACACAGCCUGUGAAGUCAAGGCACACGGAGCUUACCAUGUGGUGAGUGCCUGGCACUCUCUACCAACCAAUAGAUGUCACCUACCUGACCUGCCGGGGUUGUCUCUCCGGUGUUCCGUAGCCUCCUGUCAAAUCCCUCUUCUUCACUCCAUAUUGGGCUCACGUUAUCCUGCAUGAUUUCUUCUCUUUCCAGCUCCCUGAAACCAGCCACUCCCUAAACAGUCACUUUCAUCCCCCAAGAAAUAUAGAAUAUCAUCAGAUAUCUCCUCCUGUUUUCCCAAACAAAGCUGCAUGCCUUCCUUAAAGCACCGAUAGCCCCAUUUACAAUUGGGUUGGUUGUUGACAAGUGCAGUAGGCUCCAAUGAAGAACAGGUCUGUUUCUUUUUUUGUUUGUUUGUUUGUUUGUUUGUGUUGUUUUUUGUUUUUGCUUGUUUGUUUUGCUUUGUUUUUCCAGACAGGUUUUUCUCCGUCACCCUGGCUGCCCUAGAACUAGCCUGUAGACCAGGCUGGCCUUGAACUCCUACUGCCUCUGCCUCCCAGAGCACUGGGAUUAAAGGCGUGUGCCACCGCACCCCGGCUGCUUACCCGUUUAUAUGUGCUGUACUCAGUUAAUGUGUUUUUUGACUUGAGCUUCUUUGUAAGGGCUCAAAUCUAGACUCAAGGUGUGUUAGCUUAGCAUCUGUGUCCCACACUCCUAGUCAACAUCUCCUGCCCUGGUAAGGGGAACUCCAUCGACUUCACUGUCCCUGACAUCACUUUUCCUUUGUCCUCAGUCCCUCCAGCCCAUCUGAUCAAUAGCCUUACCCUGUCCCCUCUGCCUCUCUUGGCUGACCCUUUCACUUUCCUGCUACAGAGCUGUGGCUUCAGCUCUGCCUACAUCAUCUCUCACCUACAAGUGUCUUGACACAUCCUAAUGAUCGGUCUGCCUCCCUCCUCGUCCUCCCCUUCACCCUGCCCAGAUCCAUCAUUCACACGGCAGCUGCGACUAUUCUAAGAUGCAAUCCUGAUUAUAUCCCUUUGGCCAAUUCAAGCUCUCUAAUGUUAAAUGUAAAGUCCUCUAUGACCUCACACCUUUUCCUUCACCACUGAAUUACCUCUCCUUGUUCUCCUCUGUUCCAAAUCCAAAC